AGCUGUAACCAUAGUCAGCUGGGAAGGCCUUGCAGAAACCAGAGAUUAAGUGCUACAAUGCUAAAAAUCAGCAGAUACCAGGUCAGUCAUCAGCCCCAGCAGCUACCAGCCCCAAGGGACAAGCGUUGAGCUCUGAGGGAGAAGAGGGGACCUCAGAGGGUGCGCCAUCCUGUCCUUGCUCUGCUUCUUUCAUCUGUUCAGAUACUUACACCUUGCAGGAAACUCGGCCCGCUAUUGAUGGACGGAGCAGACGACCACCAACUGGUUUCGCAACAUCAUGAAACUGAAUUUUGGCAUUCUCGCCAUAUUGACCGCUCACACUGCCGAAUACGCUCGACACCAGCGGACAUGGAAAGUUCCACCUUCUUCUGUGCGGGUAAAUCACCUGGACAUUUUACAAAUAAGAUCUUUUCCUAAAGUGUUGUUGAAGAUAUUCUCCUGAGGGUUGAUUUUAAUGUUUUCUAUUUUAAAAACAAAUAAGUGGGUUUGUUGUUAUUGGGCUGCUUUAUCGGUGAUAAGAGUCUUAAAAUAACAUAAAACACACAAAAAGGUAAUAACACUGUGCUGUGACAAUCUCACCAAAACCCAGUCUGAAUAAUAUCUGUGCGGAAUCAUUAAAUUCCAAAAUAUUGCAAAAGGGGGAUAUUUUGCCCACUAUUUUGUCUAUGUUGGCUCUUUGCUGGAACAAUGCUAAACUAAUCACACUGCCCUGCUCUCUUACCAUAACCUCGUAUCAUUCUCUG